GACGAACGCUGGCGGCGUGCUUAACACAUGCAAGUCGAACGGAAAGGCCCUGCUUUUGUGGGGUGCUCGAGUGGCGAACGGGUGAGUAACACGUGAGUAACCUGCCCUUGACUUUGGGAUAACUUCAGGAAACUGGGGCUAAUACCGGAUAGGAGCUCCUGCUGCAUGGUGGGGGUUGGAAAGUUUCGGCGGUUGGGGAUGGACUCGCGGCUUAUCAGCUUGUUGGUGGGGUAGUGGCUUACCAAGGCUUUGACGGGUAGCCGGCCUGAGAGGGUGACCGGCCACAUGGGGCCUGAGAUACGGCCCAGACUCCACCGGGAGCAAGAAGGGGGGAAUAUUGCACAAGGGGCGGAGGCCUGAUGAAGCAACGCCGCGUGCGGGAGGACGGCCUUCGGGUGGUAACCGGCUUUCGCCUGUGACGAAGCGUGAGUGACGGUAAUGGGGAAAGAAGCACCGGCUAACUACGU
rnacentral:rRNA from 1 species